rnacentral:rRNA from 1 species
UACGAAGGGUGCAAGCGUUACUCGGAAUUACUGGGCGUAAAGGGUGCGUAGGUGGUUCUUUAAGUCUGCUGUGAAAGCCCCGGGCUCAACCUGGGAAUGGCAGUGGAUACUGGAGAGCUAGAGUGCGGUAGAGGGUAGUGGAAUUCCCGGUGUAGCAGUGAAAUGCGUAGAGAUCGGGAGGAACACCAGUGGCGAAGGCGGCUACCUGGACCAGCACUGACACUGAAGCACGAAAGCGUGGGGGGCAAACAGG